rnacentral:lncRNA from 10 species
CUCCCUGAACCAGCCCUUUGGCAGCGGCCUUAUCACCCCCUCGGGGAUCCUGCUCAACAGCCAGAUGCUGGACUUCUCCUGGCCCAACCGGACAGCUAACCACUCUGCACCCAGCCUGAAUCUUCUAGUAUAAGGAAGCCUAAAGAAGAGGUUCACCUCAUCCCUAGCCCUGCUAAGUCUGGGACAUGGAGCCUGGUGGGUCUGAAGAACCCUUGUCCCAUUCUGUCACUGUCUUACUGUGUGACCUUGUGAAGAUCUUGCCCUCUCUGGGCAAUUUCUUCACCUGUACAAUGAGGGUUUUGGCUCCUAUUUGAUGUUUUGGGCAUUUUCCAGCACUAGCGGUCUGUGACUAUGUGAGCUUGAGCUGAUGGGGCUCAGCCCUAUGGUUGGGCACCAAAGAGGGACCCAAGGAGGAAGGAUUUAAUAAUUUUUAUCUAGUUAAAAAUCAGCACUCUUACACCCCGCCAUCUGGGGCCCCAGCAGGGCAAAGACACAUAGAGAUGAUCAGGGUGGGGUUAUCCUGUUCUUCCCCAUUGCCAUCUUUCUUGGCUUGGUCCUUUCUCCUGUGACCCGUAGCAGCCUCAUAGCUCAGUGGAUGUACUUAUCACUCCCCCAUCCACCCCACCCAUCCAGGCACCCUACCCAUUUCACAGAUAGCAAACUGUUGUCUGGGAAGGGACCAGUCUCCCAGGAAAACUGGGCCUGUGGAAGAUGUAGAAGAGGGAGAGCAGUUGGAAGGGUUGUGGAGGGGCCCUU